CCAAAAGAUAAUCUUUCACUCGAAAGAUCUUUUCCUUUGUGCUGGCUUUGACCGUAUGUAAUUUUGGGACUUAAACAUGGUAGCCUUUAUUGGUUUGCCGGUCCCAAAAACAAUAUAUCAUCCUUAUGAAAAACUUACUGAACAACUAAACAAUGAUUUUAAUAAUCUGUUUAAAA
rnacentral:misc_RNA from 2 species